rnacentral:rRNA from 1 species
GUUAAAAAGCUCGUAGUUGGAUUUCUUUCAUUCUCUCGCCUGGCCCGGCCCUUCAAGGAUCGGACAGCGAAAGGUGAAAAAAUUUGUCUUAAUGCAUGCGUCCACUUAACUGUGGACGUAGGUUGAAAGACUCGUUUACUUUGAGAAAAUUAGAGUGUUCAAAGCAGGCGUUUGCCUUGAAUAUGUUAGCAUGGAAUAAUAGCAUAGGACUUCGGUUCUAUUUGUUGGUUGUUCACGAAACGAAGUAAUGAUUGAUAGGGACGGUUGGGGGCAUCCGUAUUCUCAAGCGAGAGGUGAAAUUCUUGGACCUUGGGAAGACGAACAGCUGCGAAAGCGUUUGCCUAGGACGUUCUCUUUAAUCAAGGACGAAAGUUGGGGGAUCGAAGACGAUCAGAUACCGUCGUAGUCUCAACUAUAAACUAUGCCAGCUAGGGAUCGGCGGAUAUAUUUUUAUGUCGUCGGCACCUUACGAGAAAUCAAAGCAUUUGGGUUCCGGGGGGAGUAUGGUCGCAAGG